rnacentral:rRNA from 1 species
GAUGAACGCUGGCGGCGUGCCUAAUACAUGCAAGUCGAGCGAACAGACGAGGCGCUUGCUCCUCUGACGUUAGCGGCGGACGGGUGAGUAACACGUGGAUAACCUACCUAUAAGACUGGGAUAACUUCGGGAAACCGGAGCUAAUACCGGAUAAUAUAUUGAACCGCAUGGUUCAAUAGUGAAAGACGGUUUUGCUGUCACUUCUAGAUGGAUCCGCGCCGCAUUAGCUAGUUGGUAAGGUAACGGCUUACCAAGGCAACGAUGCGUAGCCGACCUGAGAGGGUGAUCGGCCACACGGGAACUGAGACACGGUCCAGACUCCUACGGGAGGCAGCAGUAGGGAAUCUUCCGCAAUGGGCGAAAGCUUGACGGAGCAACGCCGCGUGAGUGAUGAAGGUCUUCGGAUCGUAAAACUCUGUUAUUAGGGAAGAACAAAUGUGUAAGUAACUAUGCACGUCGUGACGGUACCUAAUCAGAAAGCCACGGCUAACUACGUG